GAUGAACGCUGGCGGCGUGCCUAAUACAUGCAAGUCGAGCGAACGGACGAGAAGCUUGCUUCUCUGAUGUUAGCGGCGGACGGGUGAGUAACACGUGGAUAACCUACCUAUAAGACUGGGAUAACUUCGGGAAACCGGAGCUAAUACCGGAUAAUAUUUUGAACCGCAUGGUUCAAAAGUGAAAGACGGUCUUGCUGUCACUUAUAGAUGGAUCCGCGCUGCAUUAGCUAGUUGGUAAGGUAACGGCUUACCAAGGCAACGAUGCAUAGCCGACCUGAGAGGGUGAUAGGCCACACGGGAACUGAGACACGGUCCAGACUACUACGGGAGGCAGCAGUAGGGAAUCGGCCGCAAUGGGCGAAAGCCUGACGGAGCAACGCCGCGUGAGUGAUGAAGGUCUUCGGAUCGUAAAACUCUGUUAUUAGGGAAGAACAGAUGUGUAAGUAACUGUGCACAUCUUGACGGUACCUAAUCAGAAAGCCACGGCUAACUACGUG
rnacentral:rRNA from 1 species